rnacentral:rRNA from 1 species
UACGAAGGGUGCAAGCGUUGCUCGGAAUUAUUGGGCGUAAAGGGUUGGUAGGUGGUCUUGUUUGUCUAAGGUGAAAUCCCACGGCUUAACCAUGGAAGUGCCUUAGAAACGGCAAGACUAGAGUCCUAGAGGGGUUUGUGGAAUUCCCGGUGUAGCGGUGAAAUGCGUAGAGAUCGGGAGGAACACCAGCGGCGAAGGCGGCAAACUGGAUAGGCACUGACACUCAACAACGAAAGCGUGGGGAGCAAACAGG